GCGGAUGUGGCGGAAUGGCAGACGCGCUAGACUUAGGAUCUAGUUCCGUAAGGAGUGAAGGUUCAAGUCCUUUCAUCCGCA
rnacentral:tRNA from 1 species